GCCAGAGACUCUCAGAGUCACCAUCUUAUGAGAUCACAUAGGAUGUUCUCUCCUCCUACAAAGAGUGAUCGAUUUUUUAUUGACCACUCACAACCUCCAUGCACACUUCACCAUAUCCAAAAUAUCUCACACACAUCUCAAAGUGGUGUGCUAGGGAAUAAACCAAAGUAAGGAUCCAUGUAUACAAGGUACCAUGAUGAUCUCAGGUCAAAAGAUCACAUGCACUACUCCCACUAAAGAACCAUCUGUCGACAUGCUGUAAGGCUUCAUUAGAUAUUUUUUUUAGGGGUUAGUUUAGUGAACUCAUUCUCUAAUGAGUACCUACACCCAUGUAUUAGUAUCACCACAUAAGUGGUUGUGAGAUUAACCACCUUC
rnacentral:lncRNA from 1 species